CGCCGCGGCCCAUGAGUCGCCUGCUCGCCUCUGUGUAGCCGCCUCCAGGGACUGUCACGCGAGAGACCCGCGAUCUCCCGGGCUGCGGGAGCUAAUUCUGACAAAUGAAGAGGCAAUAGAUCCUUGGAGAGAUACACCUGCAGAAGGUUCUGGAAUUCCAGUCUAACCCCACCCUCUGGUCUUUAAGGAAACCUCAGGCCCUCCUUUCUGCAUCGUUGGAGAGAGAACCUCCUACAGGCUAAACACAGGCUCUGUGGCGGAGCUGCAUCCCAGUGCAUUUGGACCUUACUUGAUUGAUGUUGGGCUUCAGGAGUAAGACUCUAGGUGGAGAUCCCGGUCUCACAUAUGCAUUCUAAUUUCUGAGCAGCUUGGAUUGAGCCAAGGGGGCACGAGGCCAGCCUGUGACCAUAGAGGAUUGCUUGAGAACUCAAAAGAACGACGGGGUGACCGACGGGGUGACAGAAAGGGAAACAUUUCAACACAAGGACAGUUUCGAGCCACAAGGAAAGAAAGAACAAAGCAUCCAAAUUAAGUUAGGAAAUGUAUUAUCUAUAGAAAAAUCCUUUGAACAAUCAGUCGGCCGUGAGGGCAUUUUGUUUUUUUGGUUUUUUUUCUAGUUCAGGUUGCUGCUCCACUUCUCAGGGUUCCUUUUCACGUGGAAAUCAAGAGACAGGCGGUGAUGGGGUAAAGAUGACUAACGAUCUUUUAGUAAUCUCCCCUCUGUGGGUUGUGGAAGCUGCUUGAAGGUUGCCAAGGGAACCUUGGGUAAAAUUUUGCAGGAGUGUCUCUGAAAACAUUAUUCAUAAUUAAAAAAUGAUUCAUAGAAAUCA